CAGUAUACAGUUAUAAAGGACGGAAGCAGAAAAAAGUUAUGUUAACAGUGGAACAGGCCCAAGAUCAACAUUAUGUGCUUGUAUUAUGGGGUCCUGGAGCAGCCUGGUACCAUCAACUUCAAAGGAUAAAAGGUUAUAUUAGGGAAUUUAAAUAUCUUUUUGUUCAGCGCAAUUACACACUAGAAAACCUAGAAUUGCAUACAAUGCCUUGGUCAUCCUGUGAGUGCUUGUUUGAUGAUGAUAUAAGCGCAAUUACAUUUAAAGCAAAAUUUCAAAAAAGUACACCCUCCUUUGUGAAGAUAUCAGACUUAGCAACCCACCUAGAGGAUAAGUGUUCAGGAGUGAUUCUAGGUAAAGCCCAGAUUUCAGAGCUGGCAUUUCCUCAGAAGAUAGCUCUAAAUGCUCACAGUUCUCUGAAGAGUAUUUUCUCUUCUCUUCCCAACAUCGUAUAUACUGGCUGUGCAAAAUGUGGAUUGGAACUAGAAACAGAUGAGAACAGGAUCUAUAAACAGUGUUUUAGCUGCUUACCAUUUACUAUGAAGAAAAUAUACUAUAGGCCAGCCUUAAUGACUGUAGUUGAUGGAAGACAUGAUGUUUGCAUCCGUGUAGAAUCAAAGCUGAUAGAGAAGAUUCUUCUCAACAUUUCUGCAGACUGCCUCAACAGAGCGAUAGUUCCUUCCUCAGAGAUCACCUAUGGGAUGGUCGUGGCAGACCUGUUCCACUCCUUGUUGGCAGUCAGCGCAGAACCUUGUGUACUGAAGUUUCAGAGCCUUUUUGUAUCAGAUGAAAACAGCUCUCCAUUACAACAAGAUUUCUCCCUCCUGGAUUUUUAUCUUGACAUUGUAAAGCAUGGAGCUGAUGCCCUUCUCUGA